rnacentral:rRNA from 1 species
ACGGAAGGCAGCAGUGAGGAAUAUUGGUCAAUGGGCGGAAGCCUGAACCAGCCGAGUCGCGUGAAGGAAGACGGUAUUAUGUAUUGUAAACUUCUUUAGGCGCAGAGAAAUAAGCUCCACGCGUGGAGUGAUGCUAGUAUGCGCAGAAUAAGGAUCGGCUAACUCCGUGCCAGCAGCCGCGGUAAUACGGAGGAUCCGAGCGUUAUCCGGAUUUAUUGGGUUUAAAGGGUGCGCAGGCGGUUUGUUAAGUCAGCGGUUAAAUAGCGGAGCUCAACUCCAUCCCGCCGUUGAUACUGGCAGACUUGAUUGCGGUCGAGGUUGGCGGAAUUCGCCGUGUAGCGGUGAAAUGCAUAGAUAUGGCGAAGAACUCCGAUUGCGUAGGCAGCUGACCAGGCCGUAAAUGACGCUCAUGCACGAAAGUGCGGGGAUCGAACAGGAUUAGAUACCCUGGUA